UCUAAAACCUAAUUGAGAAACCCGAACCUUCAAGUUCUUCAACCCAUCCUUGGAGUGGAAUCGUCGAGGUCGCGAUAGGGCAGAGGUCGUGGUAAUCGAAUUCCGGCAAUCUGGUUUCGUAGUGAGUAUCGGAUUUUAGACAGAAGAUUGGAGGUGUGACGGAGAAGAAGAUUCCGAUGGCGGGCGGGGAAAAAUAAAUUGGGCACGGCGUGCGAGAAACGAACCAAGUCUGAUCGAUUAAGUCCAGUAAGCGGAUCAUCUUCAUUGCGAGAGCAGAGAGUUGGGUCAUCUUCAUGCCUCAAAGUGCUGCCGUCAGCUGCGCCUCACCUUGCCCGAUCGGAUCUCCACCUCCCUCCCUCCCGACAAGAGCAAGGGAUAGGGGCUAUGCCGACUGCGGAUAAGUAUUACAUACCUUGUAUCUAUAGUCUUGAAUUUCCUUGUAGAUCUUUCAGUCUUAAAUUUCUGGCUAAAAGUUUAUCCUAACUUCAACUCGAUCAAGAAAAUGGUUACUACUGAGGAAAUGUAAACGUAGAAGGUUGUUGCCAGAUAAUCUGGAGAUUAAUCUACUGGAAGUACAAUGGAGGUUUUGCUGAUAUGGGACCAACCAUUAAGGCAAAUCAACCUUAUAUAUAGAGGCUGCAAUUUCAGCAUUAUCAAGGGGUUAAGCAAACUGCACCUAAAGGGCAUCUUCAGGAAUGCUGGACCACAUUAUUGUGAAACAAGUGUUUGAAGCUACCCUUGAAGCAGAUAGCGGCUGUUUCAGUCAUGGAUUCACCUUAUCAACUAAUCCGUUUGAUCCAAAUGUUGAUAAAAAGCAGAGGAUUUAUGCAGGCAAAGAAGCAAACUGCUGGAGGUUAAAAGGUGGUAGUUUGCGUAUGUAACUUGAUUGCUGGAAGACCCCACUCCCUGCUGAAUUCGUUUUUGCUGAAGAGUCUUAGUUUAAUCACUAUUUGUUGAAACAAUUUUAUUCCUUUCAAAAAUAUAUGCAAUGUCAUUGUAUAAUAUAAUAAAGUAAGCUCAUGUUAAGGGUUUAAAAUAUUUAAGCAGACUGUUUUUAGUGUAGAAAUUGCAAUUCAAAAUGCUCAGUAUGUUGUCUUUGAAGGAGAGUUGCAGAAAACGGGAUUCUGAUGUUGUAUUGUGUGUGAAAUUGAAGUUCUCGCCAUUGAUAGAGCUCUUGUGAA